AGGACUACUUUCAGAGAUCUGUUUCUAUAGUUUGUUAUCAGAGAAGUUUAUUUAAACGUGUGGAAUACCGGAAACCACGAAGAUAGAGGCGAAGUGUUUUUUUUCUGAGCGUGAGAUUGCCACUUGGUAUUGUUUUAUCGCGUUUGCCUUUUGGCAUUGAUGAUCGUUCUUCUUUCCUUUUGGGAGAGUAAGAGGGAGAGAGCGCAAUCUGAGUGGU
rnacentral:snoRNA from 1 species